rnacentral:rRNA from 1 species
AGGACCGGAGUGGACGCAUCACUGGUGUUCGGGUUGUCAUGCCAAUGGCACUGCCCGGUAGCUAAAUGCGGAAGAGAUAAGUGCUGAAAGCAUCUAAGCACGAAACUUGCCCCGAGAUGAGUUCUCCCUGAGACUUUAGGUCUCCUGAAGGAACGUUGAAGACGACGACGUUGAUAGGCCGGGUGUGUAAGCGCAGCGAUGCGUUGAGCUAACCGGUACUAAUGAACCGUGAGGCUUAACCUU